rnacentral:lncRNA from 1 species
AAGCCACACAGAGGUUCUCCGGCUUCUUUUCCUCCCUUUCUCUGCUUCAGCAUCACCGCAUGCGGUCACCAUGUCGGACCCAGAAGCUGACACCUUGCGAAGCACCUUUCCCUCUUACAUGGCGGAAGGCGAGCGGUUGUAUCUGUGCGGGGAGUUCUCUAAAGCUGCCCAGAGCUUCAGCAACGUGAGUCGCGCUCUGAACGUACCGAUUACCCAAUCACCCCUUCUAAUUCCCGGUAACACUGAGGUCCCCGUGGUGCUGGAGGACCCUAUUGUUUCUAUGAUUCACUUGUGCCUAAUUGACGCACUACUGGCACCGCUCGGCCAUUUUCUACCAAUUCUCACUUGCCUUCUGCUGUUAAUAACCAUUCUCUGCAUUAACAGUGACUUCUACUUUUUGCUGAAUGUUUUGUGACUCACUGGCCUCUUUCCACAGAGCAGCCUUUAUUACCCUUGGAGGCUGCAUAUACAAGUGGUGCAAUCUCUGGCACACAGUUGCUCACAGAUGGUCAGUAUAGCACUAACAUUGUACAUAACCUUAGUAUGACUCGAUCCACCCCGUCCUACGGUGCUAAGCACAGUAUGACCCUAUGAGGGAGGUUCUGUUAUGAAUCCAUUUUAUGGACGAGGAAACUGAUGUAGAAGUGGAUUACGUGUCCGAGAUUCAUUGAACUGGCAAGAGAAAGGAUUCAAACCCAGGCAGUCAGAUUCCAGGGCUAGAUACUAACCACCAUACAUACUCCCUCACAAGUAAGCUGUUAGAUGUUCUUACCACAAUUUCUUUUACAACCAAUCCUUCUCAUUCCAAAGGGAGUGGCAGGAUAGCCCUCUAACCAUCCCAAGACUCCCCCUAAAGUCAAGCUUCUCCACUGCUACCCAAAGUCUUUUGUCCCUUUGGCUCACCAACCACACCCUAAAACCAGAACUGGUUGGCCAGAUGGGUUAAGGGUUGAGUUCAGGAUCCCUGCCUCCACCCAGUCUCCUCUUUCAGGAUCGCAUUCCAUCCUAGAGAAGCUCAGGCAGAGUGAAAAGAACACCCUGAGGGAAAAUAGCUUUGGUUGAGAAGUAGCCUUCUUCUGGAAAAGCCAGUAGCUGCUUCCUGUAAAAAGUAGGUCUUAGAAAGGUGUGAGUGGAGUCUGAUGCCUCAGGAAGGACAGUACGUCAAAGCACCUAUGAUGAUUUCAGACAGAAGAGAGGACAUGGGGAGAAGUGUUCCAUUCUCGCCUUACUCCCCAAAUCACAGUUUCAGUUUUGCUAGCAUUUUCAUCUUGAUCUCCUGAAAUAGUGAUUCCUUCUCAAUAAGGGAGUAAGGAAGAGAGAGUUGGGGAAUGGAUGCCUCAAGUGGCAGGUGUCCUAAAACCCAUUUCGUUAGCCUUCAGAGUGCUUAGCCUCACAAAUGUAUUUUGAGUGUAGUGCAGCCUUUUGAGGUUUGUAGGUGAACUCAGUAGGCGCAAAAAAAUCCUAAGCUUCUGUCACCUGAGUGGACCGGAGGAAUCCGAGACGUUUUGGGAAAAUUCCAUAUAUCCACAGAGUGGUAUCUGCAUCUCUCUCAGCCAGUCGCUUCCACAACAGCUAGUGAUUUGACCUUGUCUGAGAGGAGCUACGUGCAGACAGUCAAGUUGGCGGAGCGAAGAUCAGUGUUAUGCUGCUUCUGGUCUGAUCAGAUCCAGAGACAUGUUUGCCGGCCUGAGGAAUCCCCCGGAAGCCCUGGCAGGAGGGUUUGGGAGGCCCUUUCCGGUCCCGCUUCUACCUCGUGCUGCCUGGUGCCUGUCGACCUGGGUGGUUCGUUUCUUAGGCUCUUCACCUUCAGAAUGGAGAUAAGAACUGCCUGGUUGCCCGGUCCAAAUGCUUCCUGAAGAUGGGAGAGUUGGAGAAAUCCCUGCAGGAUGCUGAGGCUUCGCUCCAGGGUGACCCGACUUUCUGUAAGGUGACUUUACGUAUGGGUGGGAGGACUUAGGCUAACCAGAUUGCCUAGGGUUUGAUGCCGUUUUCUCGCCUUAGGUCACUUAUCUAGCUCCCUGCCCCUGCAUCCCAACCUGGAUCCUCAACCCAGGACCCUCUCUGUUCCACCACGCCGAAGUCCCAUAAAGCCUUGUCUGUCCACCUCAAUUUGACUUCUCUCGUUUCAGGGGAUUUUACAAAAGGCUGAGACCUUGUACACCAUGGGGGACUUUGAGUUUGCGCUGGUGUUCUAUCAUCGAGGCUACAAGCUGCGGCCUGACCAAGAAUUCAAAGUUGGAAUUCAGAAAGCCCAGGAAGCCAUCAACAACUCAGUGGGAAGUGAGUGACCAUUGGACCUGUGCCCUUAUCCAGGGAGGCUCUUGGAAUCCUUAGGCUUGGCGAUACGAGUGAGCAGCCACCACCAGGCCUGCAGGGAGCAUGCUUGGAUUUAGCUGCUGCUGAUUUUGUUGGAGAUUAGGAACUGUCUACCCAGAGGACCAGCUCCUGAGCCACUGUGCUCAGCUCUGCAACUUCUGGUUCUCCUCCAAGGGCAGGCUGUUCACAUUAGGCCUGUCUUUGGCCUGGUUUCAUAGGGUAGGUUGGGGUUCUGAGCAUAGCCUGCCCUAGGACCUGGCCUCCUCUCUUACCACAUCUGCACCAAGGACUGGACUUACCUGUCAGGUUGGUGGCAGGGGGAGGAGGGAGGAGAGCACGAAUUUGCCUCCUUGGGUGGGCUGCAGAGUGUGGAAAUGCCUGGGGAUAGAGAGCUCCUCCAGUGCUUAGGGACUGCCUUCUUUUGGAAAUUUGGCGGCCUUGGCCUUGGGCUAGAGGGGGGUGCCCAGCUCUUAGGAGGCUGUAAUUCCUUCCAAGCAUCCGGGUACCAGUAAUCUGCUGGGCUCGCUCAGAGCCAGCUUUGCCACAACCUCCACCACCCCCUGCCAAAGGCAGCCAUUUCUACAUAAAAGUAGGUGAUAGAUCAUGCCUGAGGGCCUGGCAGACCUGAGCCAGACUUCUCUCCUUGCAGGUCCUUCUUCAAUUAAGCUGAAGAACAAAGGGGACGUCUCCUUCUUGAGCAAGCAGGCUGAGGUGAGGGCCUUGGUUCUGACACCACAGCCCGCCCAAGGAGAAGCCCACAUGGGCCUGAGCAGCACAGGUCUCAGUGGCCUUCUUACCUGGGGACGGUCAGCUUCUGCCCAUCACGGGCAGCCAUGGGUUUCUGCCCCGGCCCCAGAGCAGUCUUGUUCCCAGACCAGACACACUCCGUGGUUCUGGGUGCACAGAGAGGGCCCUGGAGGAGAUGUCUGGGAUCAUAGACUCUGGGGCCAUGACUGGGUACUCUGUGAUCCCUGUUGAGGCUCUGUCGGGUGUCACUCCAUCUUACCAGAGUAUGAAAGCCCAGCAGAAGCCUCAUCCCAUGAGACACCUCGUACACCACCCCAAGAUAGAGUCCAAGCGGAAGGGCUCGUUGAAGAGUGAGAAGAUUGUCCGCCAGCUCCUGGGCGAGCUCUACGUGGACAAGGAGUAUCUGGAGAAGCUCCUUUUGGAUGAAGGUUUCAGACACUUUGUUUGCGACAGGGAACUUGGGGCAGAAGAAAUCUGGGACGGGUGCUUAAUGCACGAGCGGGAGACAGAGCCUGUCGUGUAACAUGAGCCGAUAUGCUCCUAUGGACAGGUUUUCCUAGCGUUCUCAUUUACAGAUGAGGAAACUCAGGUGCAGAAAGGUUAAGUAACUCACCUAAGGUGGCGCAUAGGUAAACAGUGGACUUGAAUCUUAAGACGUCCCAUUUCAGAACCAGUGCUCUUGGCAUUAUGGUGCCCUGCGAGGGAACACCAGAGAUGUGGGUCCUUGGAGGGGCAUCCUCUGAGCCUUCAAUUUGUACAACGGGCAAAGGAAUCUAGCUGGGACUUGCUGGGGGGAAUCCUACGAUACUAGUACUCGAAUGUUCUGAAACCUCAUCUGGUCUAAUCCCCCCUUUUAUAGAUAAGGAAAGAGAGACCCUGAAUGGGGAGUAACUUGUCCAAGGUGACAAGCAAGUUCAUGGCAAAGUUGGCACCAGAGGCCGGCCUCCUAACCUCAGGUCCAGCGCUCUUUCCACCAUACUGUGCUGGCGGUGGCAGAAAAUAGGGCAGAGCCUUGAAAUGAAAUGGGAGGGUGGGAGUCUUGCCGUUAGCUGAUAAACCUAAGCAGGAUUCAUCCUUGAAUCAAAUGCCUUUUCUCCAGAACUGACUUCCUGAGGGCAUCUGCAGAACGCCCUGCAGGUCUGUGUCUCGAGCAGCUUCACUGCUGGCCCAUCUCUGAAAGAGGCCUGAAAACUUCCUUCCCUCCAGAGGAUCUUCUGUGGAGGAAGGGGUAGCCUGAAAUUUAUCCCCAAGAAGCCCUGCAGUUUUGCUACCAGCUCUAACCUCGGAUCAGGCAGGCGGGCAGAGCCUGGGCACGCCCCCACUCCCCCACCCCGGCUCCCAGCUUGCACUGACCCACUGGCACCUGGGGAAUCACUUGGCACUCGUAACCUGGACCAGGUUGUGCAUUCAUACUUAGUCUUCUCAGAGGACACAACCUGAAAUAAGGGAGCCCUGCGGGUUGGGGUCCUUUCAGAAAGCUAUCCGCCAGCUGCCCCUUCUGCUAGCUCCUUCUAUCUUGCCAUAAGAGGCCUGUGCACUGAAUUCGGCACCCUGGGAGUGCCUGGAAAGGGGGCUCUGGCCUCACCUGGGUCCACAUAGAGCUACUCUGUCACCUAUGUGCCCUUGCUUUCUCCAACUCAAAGCAGAGAGCCCCACAGGGGCCCCCGCAGCAAGGAUCCCCAGCCAAGAGGAGGUAGCUCCCUUACAUGCCCAUUCUAGUUGGUUUCUCCUCACACCCUUCUCCCCAGACCUGAUCAAAGGCACCAUCAAGCACGGCCUGACCGUGGAGGACCUCAUCAUGACAGGCAUCAACUACCUGGACACCCGCAGUAAUUUCUGGAGACAGCAGAAGCCCAUCUAUGCCAGGGAGCGGGACCGGAAGCUGAUGCAAGAGAAAUGGCUGCGAGACCGCAAACGGCAGCCCUCACAGACAGCCCGCUACAUCCUCAAGAGCCUCGAGGACAUUGACAUGUGUGGGUAGUGUUCUUGGAAGGGCGAGGCCUUCGCCAGGCGGUGGAAUGCAGCACUGUGGCCUGAGACCCUGGUUUCGCUGGCCUGUGGAUGGUAUCCCCUGUGGGGAGGUGGGUUCUCCCCUCAGCCUGAGGAGGCUGCUCCCGCCUCCAUGUCCCCUGUUCCCCUUCCUAGUGCUGAGCAGCGGCAAUGCUGAAGGGAGCCUUCAGAAGGCUGAGAAGGUGCUGAAGAAGGUGCUGGAAUGGAACAAAGAGGAGGUGCCCAACAAGGAUGAGCUGCUUGGAAACUUGUACAGCUGCAUAGGGAACGCCCAGAUUGAGCUGGGGCAGAUGGUCGCAGCCCUGCAGAGCCACCGGAAGGACCUGGAGAUUGCCAAGGAACAGUGAGUGUCCAGGAAAAGCUGAGCAGCUGAGGCCCGUGGGCCUGCAGACGAGGGGGGCAGGGGCGGUGCCUGGCCUUUUGCCAGGACUGCUGGCGGGUGAACUCCUAGGACCGAGGCUAAGAGGCGGACCUAGACUGUCAGCUUUUUUGCCACAAAGAGGAAGGAAGUGGCCCCAAUGCCAGAAAGCUCCCAGAGGUUUGGCUCUGAGGGGUAUUUUUAUUCUUUAUUUUUUUAAGUUUUUAUUUAUUUAUUUUGAGAGAGAGAGAGAGAGAGAGAAUGAAUCCCAAGCAGGCUCCACACUGUCAGUGCAGAGCCAGACUCGGGGCUCUAUCUCACAAACUGCAAGAUCAUGACCUGAGCCGAAAUCAAGAGUGGGUGGCUUAACCGACUGAGCCACCCAGGUGCCCCAAGGGUAUUUCUGUUCUUAAAUCAUCUCAAGAAGCGUAUAUCAACCCCAGACUUGCCACAUGUUGCUAGCAUUAAGAACACAGCAGUGACCCAAAAUAAGGGUCAUCUCCCUGCAGAUGUAAAACAAAAAAAUGACAUAGCUAAUAAAUGGUAAUUGUGAGACGUGUCACAAAGGAGAAGUACAGGACCCAGUGCUAUGAGGAGUAUAUUCCAGGAGGAUAGGACUGGGCCCUGGGGAGCACACUUGGUCUAUGGGAGGACCCUGAAGGAGGCCGAUGGAAGCUUGAUGCUGGAGAGCACAGAGUAUUGCCAGGGGAAGAGUGACCAAGAGGAAGCCAGGCCAAAUGGCAGGGGUCAGAUCGAACAGGGUCUUGGAAACUAUGGUGCUGACCAAGAGCACGGGGCUCUAGAGUCCACCUCACCUGGGCUUUGGAAUUGUACCUCGCAGGCAAAACCGCAGCCUUGGGGCCUUAGGCAAGGGACUUCCCCUGUCCCAGCUGGGUGUCCUCUGUCAAUGGGCAUAACAGUAGCCCCUUCCUGAUAGGGGGGAAGGAAGAAACCACGCAGAAGUCCAUGUAAAGAUCUCAGGACAGUGCCAGGUAUCCAUAAUAGUAUGAAUACCAGCUAUCAGCUCUUCCCAAGACUUGAGGGUCCCUCUCAAGGUGCCAUCAGUUUCCAGUCAUCCUGAAUCUAACCUGUAGAGCCCUCCAUGACGUUCCCCUGCUCGGUUCCCAUUUGUCCACAGUCUGAGCCUCCCUCCCACCUCCCAUUAUCCAUUUCCGGUCACAGAUCAGGGGCUCGGCUGUCUCUGCCUCCAGCUGCUCCCACACCUCACCUCCAGCGACCUGCAUUUCAUCCCCCAACCCUUCUAACCCUGUUGACACACUGGCCUUGGCCCCUUGUUGUCUGCGGGUUCAAACCACCUGCCUUCACUUGGCACCCAAGGCCUCUUGUGAACCCACUUCUGCACAGCGCUCCCUGUCACUCCUCCAUUUGGGUCAAACCCUAUUUCUUCUUCUUCUUUUUCUUCUUCUUCUUCUUCUUCUUCUUCUUCUUCUUCUUCUUAAAAAAUCUUUUAAUGUUUAUUUAUUUUUGAAAGAGAGAGAGAGAGAAAGAGAGAAAGACAGAGUGCAAGUGGGGGAGGGGCAGAGAAAGAGGGAGACCCAGAAUCUGACGCAGGCUCCAGGCUCUGAGCUGUCAGAACAGAGCCCGAUGCGGGGCCCACAAACCACGAGACCAUGACCUGAACCGUAGUUGGGCGCUCAACCGACUGAGCCACCCUGGCGCCCCUGGGUCAAACCAUAUUCCUUGAAGGCUCCUGCCUCCCACCCUCUCCUCACUCACCGGAGCCCCAUGUACUAUUCGUUCCCAGUUCAUCUCUCACUGGCCUUUGCGUACUGAGCAGAAGUAUCCCAUAGCAGCUGUUCUGGAAGUAGAAAACAACCCAGCAGCUUUGGAGACACGGCCGGGUUUGAUUCCCAGGUUUGAUUCCCGGCUCUGGCACUCUGAGGCUGUGUGGAUUUGAUUAAGUUGCUCAUCUCCUCGGUUUGCUCAUCUCUGAUGAAGGCAUAAUAAUACCGACUCAGGGACUAUGAGGAUGAAAUGAGAUAUGUGUUGACAGUGCCGUGAAUCCAGCUGUCUCCCAGGCCCUGAGGACUUACUUAUUACCUUUGCUUCUCACCACCCCUCCCUCCCGAGCCCCAGGUCCGCAUAGCCAACCGAAUCCCAGGCAUUUUCACUUGGGUGUCCCACAGGAAUCCCAAAUUUAACAUGUCCAAAGUGGAACCCCUUAUCUUCCUCCCCAACCUCUUGCUCCAGGGUUCUCUGUCUGCGGGGAUGGCUCUCUUGGCCACUCAGUCCCCAAGAAGGAGCCCAGGCAGCUUCUCAGAUUCCUCCCUCCCUUCCGUGCUCAUGCCCAGCCAGCCUACGUCUUGUCUGGGCCUCCUCCUUCCUGUCUCCUCGGUGUUUUUCCAUUUCCCUCCCACAGCUCAGUCCAGACCCUCCUCAUUUCUAGACUGAUUCCUCCAUCCUGGGUUUCCUGGAGCCCACCUGGCCCUUCUGUGCAAAACAAGUCCAGUCGUGGGUCGGGAUGAAGUUCCAGCUCCCAGUUCUGCUCAGCGUGGUCUGCCCUUCCUGACCUGACUUGUCCUGGCCUCAAUUGACCUAGUUCUCUCCAGGCCCCUGGGCGUCUUGGGCCUCAGCCAGCACCUUGUGGCUCUGUUCCUGCAGCCCCUAAAGAGGACUUCCUUCUCUCUAGCCAGCACUUUCUUUAUCAGCUCCCUCCUUCCCAUCCUUCAAAUUUUGUUUAUUUAAGACAAUUUUUUCAAGUUUAUUUGUUUUGAGAGACAGCGAGCAUGAGUGAGGGAGGGAGAGAGAGAAUCAGAAGCAGGCUUCAUGCACUGUCACUGUGGAGCCCAAUGUGGGGCUUGAUCACGAACCGCGAGAUCAUGACCUGAGCUGAAAUCAGGAGUCCACUGCUUAACCAACUGAGCCACUCAGGCACAGGCACCACCACCCCCUUCAAAUUUUAAAUGUGUGUCCCCUGGGUGAUAUAGAAAUCCCCCUUUAAUGUUCCCUCUGCACACUCCAUGUGGAUCUUGGCUCCCCUUGGACUUUGGAAGGGACUAUCAUAUAUCCCUUUCCCUUUCCAGCAGCUGCCACUUAGUGGGCAUGUGAUAAAUGCACGCCAAGUGGCUAAGCAAAUAGAGGUGUUCUUUUGAUAACGUUAGGCCCUUUUUAACACCCAUGAAGGGGCCUCCAGUCUUGUUUGUGAGUUCAGGUCCUCCCUCGUUGUAAUCAGCAAUGCUCCACAUGUGCCUCCCACCUCCAGAGCCUGCCAGCCCUCAUUUCUCCCUUCAGACACUCUAGAUUGCAUGCUUUAUCAUUGCUAUUAUUUCUUGUUACACGGUAUUAUGAAUAAGUUAGCAUUCAUUCAUUCAUUCAUUCAUUCAUCACACCAUAGCAGAGCACCCUCUCUAGAAGGGGGAGGCUGCCAUCGGGGGUGCCAUCAGAGCAGCAGGUGCACAAUGUGGGUGAAGGUCCAAGGAGAGGCAGGUGGGAGCACUGGCGGGAGCUGAGGGGGCCUCGGAGAGGACAGGUCAACCAAGUGGACCAGCGGAGAGGGAGGAGGGCACCCUAGGCGGAGAGAGAGAAGCAGCAGGGGUGGAAGCUGCGGGGGGUGGGGCAGGACCUAUGGGGAGUGGCAGUCUAGAUCCCAUGCUGAAGAGGACUGAGGGCCGAGUCUGUUUUUACACAAGUACUAGUGUGAGUGUGGUACUUGGUCCAGAGCUCUGUGGCACGGAGAGCAGAACUUGGAAGUCCCCCCCUCCUCCCCCACCUCCCAGGACCACACCCCCCUCACUUCCCUGGGGUCAUGUAGACAUGUGGCCUUCUGGCCCCUUUGCAAUAUAUUUACCUGUGUAUUUCUGUACAUAAGCACAUACCUAGGAUUCUCAAAACAAAAGCAACUCGUUUUUGUGGUUUUUAAAAAGCAUGUGCCUUGGAAAGGGUCUCGUCCUUUAAAUGGCUCCAGAGAAAGGAAUUUCAGCACACAACGUACUUUCUUGCACUGUGUCCCUGUGGGCAGACAUGCAGGAUGUUCCAUUUUUGUCAUCAUGCACAGCAAUACAGUGCAACUCGGUGCUUGUGUGUGCAUGUUUCUGUGGCGAGAGCAAUGGCCUGAUGAGAUGUGCAUGUUUGAAAGGCAGGCUCUGUUCACACUGGGGAGAAUGAGUCCAAGGUGCCAAGUUGCAUGGGGGACACAGGAGCCCGCUGGAUGGCAGGGCCUUGGGUGAGGACAAGGGAAAGAGUGGGAGGAGAUGCUGGGGGUGACGGGAGCAUUGGAGGAGGGUUUUCUUAUUUUCUUUGUUGGGGAGGAAGUUUUUGACAGAUCAGAGUGUUCGUAUGGUGGUGAUGGUAAAGAACCAAUGUAAGGGGAACAAUUGUGUUUUUCUUUAUGGAAAUAUCUUACUCUAUUUUCUGUUGUUACAGGAAUACUGUACACAAUUUAAACAAUAUGGAUAAAUAAAUAGUUUUCCUCAUAGUCUCAUUUCCCCUGGGUAAUCACUGUUAAUAGUUAGACUUACAUCCUCUCAACUUCUUUUUUUUAUUAAAAAAAAUAAUUUUUUUUAAUGUUUAUUUAUUUAUUUUUAUUUUUUUUUUUUAAUUUUUUUUUCCACGUUUAUUUAUUUUUGGGACAGAGAGAGACAGAGCAUGAACGGGGGAGGGGCAGAGAGAGAGGGAGACACAGAAUCAGAAGCAGGCUCCAGGUUCUGAGCUGUCGGCACAGAGCCCGACGCGGGGCUCAAACUCACGGACCGAGAGAUCACGACCUGAGCCGAAGUCGGACCCUUAACCGACUGAGCCACCCAGGCACCCACCUCUCAACUUCUUUUAAAAAUGCCCAUUAAAAAAUUUUUUUUAAUGUUUAUUUAUUUUUGAGAGAGAGAGAGAGAGAAUAAAGGAUGGGCAGAGAGAGAAGGAGACACAAAAUCCAAAGCAAGCUCCAGGCUCUGAGCUGUCAGCACAGAGCCCCACAUCGGGGCUGUCACUGUCAGCACAGAGCCUGAUGUGGGGCUCGAACCCACGAACCAUGAGAUCAUGACCUGAGCCGAAGUCAGACGCUUAACCAACUGAGCCACCCAGGUGCUCAUUUUAGGUGCCAAAAAAUGGGCACCUGGGUGGCUCAGUCCAUGGAGCAUGCAACUCUUGAUCUUGGGGUUGAGUUCAAGUCCCACGUUGGGUGUAGAGAUAGCUUGAAAAUAAAAUCUUUAGGGGUGCCUGGGUGACUCAGUCGGUUAAGUAUCCGGCUCUGGAUUUCAGCUCAGGUCCUGAUCUCACAGUUCAUGAGUUUGACCCCCACAUCGGGCUCUGUGCUGACAGUGUGGAGCCUGCUUGGGAUUCUCUCCCUCUCCCUGUCUCUGUCCCUCCCACGCAUGCUUGUGCUCUUUCUUUCUCUCUCUCUCUCUCUCUCUCUCUCUCAAAGUAAAUAAAUAAACCUUAUUAAAAAAAAAGAGAAAAUCUUUUAAAAAAUGCCCACUUUUUAUUCAUUCACUUCUUUUUUGGUGAGUGAAAAUAACACACGCUCAUUCUCUUACAGAUCUGAAGGGUAGAGUCGUAAGCCAUUGUCACUGGACCAGAACCAAUGUGUUGGCAGGGCUGUGCUCCCUUUAUAGGCUCUAGGGAGAAUCUGUUUCCAGCCUUUUCCACCUUCUACACUUGUACUCCGUGCAUUGAGCGUAACUCAUCCAUGGCUCCUUCCUCCAUCGUCAGGCCAGGGGCACAGCAUCGUGCCUCAGGCCUGCAUGUUUAUUUUUGGCACAAACAGGGCAAUAGACCUAGUCUAUGCUCCUAUAAUCUGACUUUUUUUUUUAGGUUUAUUUAUUUAGUUUGAGAGCAAGACAGAGCAAGCAGGGGAGGAGCAGAGAGAAAGAGAGAGAGAGAAGAGAGAGAAUCCCAAGCAGGCUCCAUGCUGCCAGCAUGGAGCCUGACUCUGGGCUCGAACUCACAAACUGUGAGAUUCAUGACCUGAGCCGAAAUCAAGAGUCAGAUGCUUAACCGACUGAGCCACCCAGGUGCCCCUAUAAUCUGGCUUUUUAACUUAAUAUGUGAGGGACUUUUUUUUUUUUAUACACAAAAAUUGCCAGCACUAGGGCACUGGUUUAGAUUGUUUCUGAUGUUUACCAUUAUAAAGAGUGCUUUAAAGAAUGCCCUUCUCCAGGUAAAUUCCUAGAAGGGAAAUUGCUGCAUCAAAGGACAUGUGGUAAGCUCUUGAGUGAUUAUUCUCUGGAAAGAUCCCAAAGGUGUUCAUUCAUGGCCACAGAGCCCAAGAGGGCCUAUGUGCCACAGCCUCGCCUCCUGGAUAUCAUCCCUCCAACCCACCCUACCCGAGUCCUGGAGGCCAGAGGCCCUGUCUUUGCUUCUUUUCAAUUCCUACAGCUCGAAGAAUGGCCAACUUCUAGUGAACAACUUAUUCUGCUUCUUCCCCACAGUGACCUUCCUGAUGCUAAGUCAAGAGCCCUUGACAACAUCGGCAGAGUUUUUGCCAGAGUUGGGAAAUUCCAGCAAGCCAUCGACACGUGAGUGCUCAGGGCUGUCCCUGCCCCACCCUCGGGCCAGGAUUCCCCACUUCCCACCAGACUCCCAGCCAGGGGCCAGCAUGCCAGGCAAAGAGGCAUCAGAAGACCCAAGUUUGGCUCCAGGCUCUGCUAGGUGACCAGGGGCAAGCCGUUUUGUAAGCUCUGAGGCUCAUUUGUUAAUUGGCUGGAAUCAGCAUCUUCUCAAAAUUUCCCAGUGACAAGAAUCCCCUGCAGUACAGGUAUACGAACACCUGUCUCUGCACUGGAAAUUCUGAUUCUACCAGUCUGGGUGGGAGCCCAAGAACCUGGUUUUAACAAAGCCCUCCAGAUGGUUCUCACCUUGGGCAAGUUCAGGAACUGCCUGACCUUGGGGAUCUCUUCUGAGGCUCUUCUGUGACUCUGGGAAGUCAACAUGGACUCGCUGGGAAGGGAGGCUGAGUUCUCCAGGUGACCCAAUCACUGAAGUGUUGAUGUGCAACCCUGGGUCAACAGUCUGCUCCAAUGGGGCAGCUCAGCGCCGGGGAAACUCCGGAGAGAGCCUGGCCCGCCUGGCGACCAGCCUGCAUGGAGAGGUUCCACGGGCCCAUUCGCUUACCCCUGAGAGCAGCUGUCCUACCGGUGCUCAGUGCUGGAUCGAAAUAGACUCGUUCACCAGGACCCUGUGCUCCAGGCAACUUGGUUUCCUGAAUGGCCCCUGGUGUCUAUGUGCCAAAAGAUGGAGGAGUUUGAGAGUUCACCCACCCAUGUGCAUCUUUUUAUAAGAAAAUGUUUUAGGAGCUCCUGGGUGGCUCAGUGCGUUAAGUAUCAGACUCUUGGUCUCAGCUCAGGUCAUGAUCUCACGGUCAUGAGUUCAUACCCUGCAUUGGGCUCUACACUGGGUGUGAAGCCUACUUUAAAAAAAAAAAAAAGAAAGAAAGAAUAUGUUUUCUAGUAAAUCUGUGCUUAUUGCUAAAAUAUUAAUUUGGAAAAUAUGGAAAAGUAGCAGAAAAACUACUCAAUCUCACCCCCCCGAAGACAAUGAUUAACUCUAAUCUUGCUCUUACUUUAUUGAGGUCUCGCGUUUUUUUUUUAUUCUAAUAUUUUCUCGGUAUUGAUUUUGUCUUCUGUAUACUUAGUGAGAUUCUUCAAUGUUAUUUUUAUGUUAUUUUUAAAGAUAAAAAAAUUUUUUUUUAUGUUUUAUAUUUGAGAAAGAGAGAGACAGAGACAGAGACAGCCAGCAGGGGAGGUGCAGAGAGAUGGAGAAAGAAUCUGAAGCAGGCUCCAGGCUCCAAGCUGUCAGCACAGAGCCCCAUGUGGGGCUCGAACUCAUGAACUGUGAGAUCAUGACCUGAACUGAAGUCAGAUGCCCAACCGACUGAGCCACCCAGGCACCCCUUAAGAUUUUUAAAAAAUGGUUAUUCAUUUUUGAGAGAGAGAGAGAGAGAGAGAGAGAGAGCGCGCGCGCAUGAGCUGGGGAGGGGCAGAGAAGAGGAAGACACAGAAUCCCAAGCAGGCUCGAGGCUCUGAGCUGUCAGCACAGAGCCUGACGUGGGGCCUUGAGAUUAUGACCUGAGCCGAAGUUGGACACUUAACCCACUGAGCCACCUGGGUGCCCCUAUGUUAUUUGAAACGCAAGUUUGUAAACAUUAUCUCCGAUUGUAUCAGAUUCGAUUCCGUAAAUGUACCAAAAUAGCUCUGUUAGUUUGGAAAUAUCUUAACGCUUAUGGCUCCAUCCCCGUGUCUGAAAGAGCUGGUAGUUGGAGCACAAGUUCUGUUCUGCCCCGGGAAGGAGCCCUGGCCUCCUGUGGCCGAGUAAAGGGUUUGGGUGGAAAGAGCCGACCCUGGUUCUUCGUGUUCCCAGGUGGGAGGAGAAGAUCCCUCUGGCAAAAACCACGCUGGAGAAGACCUGGCUGUUCCACGAGAUUGGCCGCUGCUACUUGGAGCUGGACCAGGCCUGGCAGGCCCAGCAUUACGGCGAGAAGUCCCAGCAGUGUGCUGAGGAAGAAGGGGACAUCGAGUGGCAGCUGAACGCCAGCGUUCUGGUGGCACAGGCACAAGGUAUGGGCACAGAGAGGACUGUCCUACCUUUCCCAGCCCUCAGGGCCCGCUGCCAUGCCAUGGCCAGAAGCUUUACCAUCAAUGUAUCCCUGGCCAGGUUAAUUUUUUUUAAUGUUUAUUUGUUUAAAAAAAAUUUUUUUAAAUGUUUAUUUAUCUUUGAGAGACAGAGAGAGACAGAGCACGAGUGGGGAAGGGGCAGAGAGAGGGAGACACAGAAUCCGAAGCAGGCUCCAGGCUCCAAGCUGUCAGCACAGAGCCCGACUCGGGGCUUAAACUCACAUACCGUGAGAUCAUGACCUGAGCCAAAGUCAGAUGCGCAACUGACUAAGCCACCCAGGUGCCCCUUAGUCUGGCCAGGUUAAUUCUGACUCUGAGGGUGGACGAUAAACCCCUCUGUUUUGCCCAGCGUGCGGUAAGUGCCUUCUUUAAGCUAGGCUCAGAUAGAGCUUGGGGCACCCCGGAAGCUGGCCCUGCUGUCGAAGAGCUCGGCCACAGACCAGCAUAGCACUGUGCCAUUGUCAGAAGAGCGCCACUUCCCCCAGCCCUGGUGCUCUGUGCACAUGCAUUCUAGCACUUACUCACCAUGUGAACCAAUGACGAAGGUGUUAUCUUCCUCAUUUUGCAGACGGUGGGAGGGGUAGGGGUAAACGAGGCGCUGAGUGGUUCAGCAGGUUGCUGAGGGACCUUUACGGAGUAACGGAAAUAUUCUGAAAGUGGGUCAUGGGGAUCAUCCCACGCCUCCAUAAAGUUGCCGAGAAUCACUGAACUGUGUACUUACAAAUGGUGCGCUUUAUAAUAUGAUAGUUACAUCUCAAUGAAGUCAUAAAAAGCAAGCCAGUAGGGGCAGGGGUGAGGAGGAAUAGAUGAAACAAGAUCGGUGGUAGCUUGAUCAUUGUUGAAGCUGGGUGAGUAGUGGGGGCUUAUCAAACUACUCCAUCUACUUCGUGUAUAUUUGAAAUAUUUCAUAACAUGAAGUUGAAAAAGAAAUGGCUGCAGGUCACGGGUUAGGACACAAUGAAGCCGCGACCAGAGCUCAGUGCCCUGCCCCAGGUGAGCAGCUGAUCCGCAGUGAGGAGGGAAAUGCAGCGGGUGCUGUAAUCAAGGGCAUCAUCAUUCACUCACUCGUACUGCAAAUACUUCCUUGGCACCUUCUAGGUGCCAAGUUGGGCAUACAGUAGGGAUGACCACUGGUAACCGUUUCCUGCCUUCAUGUCCAAGGAAGUCACUUUUAAGCAGAAACCUGAAGGAUGAGAAGGCACCAGCUGCUCCGAGAGCUGAGGACAGAGCUUUCCAGCCAAAGGGACAGCAUUUAGAAGCAUUUAGGAGUUCGGCUGAUUUAAAAGGCUGGGGGAGACCAGUUCCAGCUGGAGCCCCUGGGGGCCGGGGGUGGGGGUGAUGAGGGGCAGAUCCACAGGGCCUCAUGGGCCUCAUUUACAAAUCAGAUUCUUCCCUAAAAAUAUGGGUAGAAACUUCCAGUGGAAGCUUUAAGCUGGGGGAAGGUGUGAUGACUGGAGCUUUUUCUAGAACUCUUUCCUUUUCUUAGGAGGUCAUGGUAUAAGCUCAAGGGGAAAUGCAGUGUACCCGUCAGAGCUGACAUUGCCCUGAGUCGACUCUCGACUCUCGACUCAAUUGCCCCCAAGGGCCGCUGGGCCCCUCUCAGCUUCCCCUCUCUGGGAUGGAAAAAAUCAGGUGCAGCCACCUGGGAGCCACCGAGUUCUAGAGGCCAUGCAGCCCUGCGGGCAGAGCUUGGGCUUUGGGCAUUCCAGGCUCAGAACCUUGGGGAGUUGGCCAGUCAGUCAGGGACUGGGUUCCAGCUCCAGCACUAACGAGCUGGGUGAGUGAGCUCAGACAGCGCCACUUCCUCUCUGGGUUCAGAUCGAGCAGGUGCAGGGGCUGGACUCCAGCUGCUGGCCCAUGGGUCGCAUCCAGCCUUUUGAUAUUUCUGUGGCCUUCGCAGCGUUUUUGCGCAAUUUGAAUGAACAUUUUUAAAAUACGGAUUGCCACUUCUGGAACAAUCUUAAGUUGGGAGAAGAUGGGGUUGUCCCACUGCCCUGGAGUUUCCUCUUUGACCUCUCUGAAUGGCCUGCUGUCCAAGACUCAGGCUCCUGGGUUCUGGUCCUUAGUGGUGAGAUGGUCCAGGAAGGUGACGGAAAGGGUGGUGCUGGCCAGUGAUGCUGCCUGAGGCCUGGGGCUUCUCACUGACCCCGGAAGCAGCCAGGCAGCCGCAUUGUGCAACAUGCAGUGUCACAAUCUACCUGUGCCGUGCCUCCUCCCUGCUUUCCAGUCAAGCUGAGAGACUUCGAGUCGGCCGUGAGCAACUUUGAGAAGGCCCUGGAGAGAGCGAAGCUGGUUCAUAACAACGAGGCGCAGCAAGCCAUCAUCAGCG